rnacentral:rRNA from 1 species
GAGAUGUGGGUAGUCGUACGAGCGCACCUUGUCUUAUUUGCCAGCACAUAAUGGUGGGAACUCUAAGGAGACUGCCGGUGACAAACCGGAGGAAGGUGGGGACGACGUCAAGUCAUCAUGGCCCUUAUGACCAGGGCUACACACGUGCUACAAUGGAGCGUACAGAGGGUUGCUAAGCCGCGAGGUGGAGCCAAUCCCAGAAAACGUUUCGUAGUCCGGAUCGAAGUCUGCAACUCGACUUCGUGAAGUCGGAAUCGCUAGUAAUCGCGAAUCAGCAUGUCGCGGUGAAUACGUUCCCGGGCCUUGUACACACCGCCCGUCACACCAUGGGAGUGGGUUGCAAAAGAAGUGGCUAGUCUAACCUUCGGGGGGACGGUCACCACUUUGUGAUUCAUGACUGGGGUGAAGUCGUAACAAGGUAGCCCUAGGGGAACCUGGGGCUGGAUCACCUCCUU